AUUGGGACUGCACUAAACCUAAAGGCGGUAACGAAAGUGAAGGCGUUCGGCGCGCGUGCGCGUCCGUCCCCCGGGGCGGGCCGCGCGCGCGUCGUCGCAGAGGGGGGAUUCGACCCGUUCUACAGCGACGCGGUCGACGCACCCCCGCGGCGUCUCGUUGUCAUUGCGACACAGCAGGCGCACGCAGAGCGUACACGUUGGGACCCGAAAGAUGCUGGCACUCGGAGUUUUAUACAGAGCGGCGCGCGCCCGGGCAACCGGACGCGUGUCGCACGUAACCAGUCUCAUCUGGUAAAGCGAAUGAUUAGAGGCCUUGGGGCCGAAACGACCUCAACCUAUUCUCAAACUUUAAAUGGGUGAGAAAUUCGACUUGCUCGAAUAAAAGUCAAAAUGAUGAAGUCGAAUGAUACAAAUAUGAGAGGAUGAACGAGCGGCCAAGUGGGCCAAUUUUGGUAAGCAGAACUGGUGCUGUGGGAUGAACCAAACGUCGAGUUAAGGCGCCUAAAUCGAUGCUCAUGGGAUACCAUGAAAGGCGUUGGUUGCUUACGUCGUUGAUGUGCAGUCGAAUAAUCGGUCGAAGGUCUGCGACACAAAAACGAUUAUGACCACAUCGGGCGAAAGGGAAUCCGGUUUCUAUUCCGGAACCCGGCAGCGGAACCGACCAUGCGGGCCAAUGUCGCAGCGAUGCGGCAACUCGUCGGGGUAACCCAAAAGGACCCGGAGACGCCGUCGGAUGAUCGGGGCAGAGUUUUCUGUUCUGUAUGAGCGUUCGAGUUCCCUGGAAGCGCCUAGCGCGGAGAUAGGGUUUGGAACGCGAAGAGCACCGCACUUGCGGCGGUGUCCCGAUCUGUCCCUCGGACCUUGAAAAUCCGGGAGAGGGCCACGUGGAGGUGUCGCGCCGGCUCGUACCGAUAUCCGCAGCCGGUCUCCAAGGUCAGGAGCCUCUAGUCGAUAGAA
rnacentral:rRNA from 1 species